rnacentral:tRNA from 1 species
GUGACCGAGUGGUUACGUUGUCCGCUUUGAACGCGGAUGAUCAUGGGUUCGAUUCCCAUC